rnacentral:lncRNA from 13 species
CUCCCGCGGGGCCGCCGCCACCCGAGGGGGCCCCGAAAGCAUGGGAGACUCCGAGGCAGGGGGGCCCUCGGCCCGCGCGGGACGCACCGUCUCUCACUUCCCGACGAGCCGCAUCACCCUGGCCGCCGGGAGCCCCGCCGGGGAGCAGCCCUAGGGGAGGGAAACGGAACGAGGUCGGGUCGGGUCAGGCAAGAAGCGGCGGGCGCUCUCCGCCGUCCGGCCGCCGGGGCCACGCCGCGCAGGCAACUUCUUUGGCUUCUGCGGGGCACUUCAACACAUCCCGCCGAGCGCACCUCGGCGCCAAGGGGGAGGGCUCUGCCGCCCCAGCCCCGCCGCUAGCGCUGCCGCCCGCAGGCAGCUCUCUUCCUCCCGCGUCCCGAGCCGCCGGGGCCGGGGUCGGGCUCCUCGCCCGGCCCCGGCAGUGCCCGAGCCAUGCGCGCCCCCGGGGCGCCGCCGCGCAGGUCGGCCCGUCCCCGCGGGGCUCGCCCGGCACCGGGGGCGGUGGCACCGGACAGCGGCGCGGGCCGGGCCCGUCCUCCUCUUCCUGAUAGCGGGUCAGGCUUCGGAGAGUCGCUCCUCUUAUUUUCUCUUUCCUGUCUCCUGCAGGGAGCCCGUUUGCUGUUUCUUCUGCAAUCCAGAAGCCUCCAUCAACCCAUGGUUGUUCUUGAGAUAUCUCACUAUCUCAGGGAGAACCCCUGUUGCUAUUUAAGUCAUCUUCUUGUUGAACAUGCAGAUGAUAUAUCUGAACGUGAGACUCUUCUAUUUCUCACUGCAAGAAAGAAGCUGUGAUGAUGGACACAACGGACACAGCCUGUGUGUUUCUGCAGGCACAGCAUGCCUGGGAA